UUUCAUACUCGUGAUAAACUGCGGCUGUGGCAGGACAUGUCACUCGACGACAGAUGUAAUAAUUACUUUAAGUUUCGCAAGUUUAAAAACAUAUUGAAAUAUAUAAAGUCAAGUUAAACUAUAUAGUUGUAUAUACAAGUAACUGUAAAUGUAUUCAUUUUGUAACUCGAUUAAGUUAAAAGUUAAUAUGUUUUUUCUUAUUAUUCUUUUCGUGUCGGUCUUCAACUUUAUAUUUCCUCUCCUUCCCAACAAGUAGUGAUUUAUAUCACCUUGUCUGUAAUAUCAUUUGCCAUUGUAAAUUCUUCUUUUAUACACUUAGCCCGAGCACGUUAACAGAUGGUCUACAUCUUGAUGCUCCCCCAAUUACAUUUUCCGUUCAUUUUCAUUCCCUAUAUCUUUAUACUAUUACCAUCAGUCCUUCCAGUUUCGGUUAUUAUCCUAUUAAGUGGCUUCUAUGUUGUCCAUGAUAAGAAGCUGCCAAGGGAUGCAUUUUCUUUUGGGUUCCUUCCAUACUUGUGAGUUUGUAUCUUUUGUUUCCUCCUUCCACAAGUCUAUUCUUGUUGCUUCGGGUGUUUGUGGUAGACUAGUUUUUGUGGUCAUAAAGUUUUUCCUCGACUUAAGUCGACUCCCCGUUAAGUUAGUUUCAUAUAACGAAUGUCUUGCAUCCGUUUCUUAUUUUGUUUUUUAUAUCCUUACUGCUACCUCUAGUCUUACAUUUGGAGUUGUCAUUCCGUAUGAUGUUUGUACUUUUCAUUUGGGAGUUGGUUUGAAGUAUCCCGUGAUUAGUCUAUUUAUUGUAUUUAGUAUAAUGUCUAUGUUUUUGACGUGUGCUGCGUUCCUUCUUGCAGCACAAGUAUAUUCUCCAGUCGAAUAGUAUAAUGAUAACGCUGCUGUUCUUAAGAAAUGAGUGUCUGAACCUCAUUGUGAUCCAACCAAUUUCUGAAGAAAAUAGUUAGUAGAUAGUAAAUAGUUCUUAUAGCCACUAUUUAUUUUAUUUUUUUUUUGUACUUUCGUAACGACUUUCAUAUCGGGGGGUCGAUCGAGUUUGACGAUGGAAAACAGUUAUUUGUGUUAUUAACAGUGUUUUUGUCGUUAACCUUAGCUACAAUAUAUUAUAGUUUGGUUUCUACUAAAA